CGGGGAAGUGGCGGGGGUGCUAUACAUGCAGUCGAGCGGACAGAAGGGAGCUUGCUCCCGGAUGUUAGCGGCGGACGGGUGAGUAACACGUGGGUAACCUGCCUGUAAGACUGGGAUAACUCCGGGAAACCGGAGCUAAUACCGGAUAGUUCCUUGAACCGCAUGGUUCAAGGAUGAAAGACGGUUUCGGCUGUCACUUACAGAUGGACCCGCGGCGCAUUAGCUAGUUGGUGGGGUAAUGGCUCACCAAGGCGACGAUGCGUAGCCGACCUGAGAGGGUGAUCGGCCACACUGGGACUGAGACACGGCCCAGACUCCUACGGGAGGCAGCAGUAGGGAAUCUUCCGCAAUGGACGAAAGUCUGACGGAGCAACGCCGCGUGAGUGAUGAAGGUUUUCGGAUCGUAAAGCUCUGUUGUUAGGGAAGAACAAGUGCGAGAGUAACUGCUCGCACCUUGACGGUACCUAACCAGAAAGCCACGGCUAACUACGUGCCAGCAGCCGCGGUAAUACGUAGGUGGCAAGCGUUGUCCGGAAUUAUUGGGCGUAAAGGGCUCGCAGGCGGUUUCUUAAGUCUGAUGUGAAAGCCCCCGGCUCAACCGGGGAGGGUCAUUGGAAACUGGGAAACUUGAGUGCAGAAGAGGAGAGUGGAAUUCCACGUGUAGCGGUGAAAUGCGUAGAGAUGUGGAGGAACACCAGUGGCGAAGGCGACUCUCUGGUCUGUAACUGACGCUGAGGAGCGAAAGCGUGGGGAGCGAACAGGAUUAGAUACCCUGGUAGUCCACGCCGUAAACGAUGAGUGCUAAGUGUUAGGGGGUUUCCGCCCCUUAGUGCUGCAGCUAACGCAUUAAGCACUCCGCCUGGGGAGUAC
rnacentral:rRNA from 1 species